GGCCCCUUGGUCAAGCGGUUAAGACACCGCCCUUUCACGGCGGUAACACGGGUUCGAAUCCCGUAGGUCA
rnacentral:tRNA from 1 species